GUCUGCUUUCUCUGUUUCUUUUGCUGAGCAAAAGCUCUUUACUUUAAUUCGGUCCUAAUUGUCUAUUUUUGUUUUUGUUGCAUUUGCUUUUGAGGACUUAGUCAUAAAUUA